rnacentral:lncRNA from 1 species
AACAGAUGCCAAAUUGAGAGGAACCUUAUGAUUAUAGAUACGGUUUUUUUUUCCAAAGAAGCUUUGAUUUUGAGUCAGAUGGAUGAUAAACCUGAAAAGUCCUGUAAACUCAGAUUCAAUCAGGAAAUACUCCGCUCAAAGAAGGAGAGGACCAAGGUAAAAACCCGCAAAGGGCAGUUUGAGUCCAAAAAAAAAAGGAAAAAGAAAAAGUGAUGUGAAAAAAUGAAAAGAUGAAAAUGAAAAAUGAAAAAGUAAAAAUGAAGAGGCUAAGGCGAA